rnacentral:sRNA from 1 species
ACCAUGCCUACCGCGACGGCGGGAAAACAGAGUUUGCCCCUUUAUUCUGCCGGCAUGGUUUCCGAUUUAAAUG